rnacentral:rRNA from 1 species
ACAGAGGUCCCGAGCGUUGUUCGGAUUUAUUGGGCGUAAAGGGUGCGUAGGCGGCGGAGUAAGUUGGGUGUGAAAUCCCGGGGCUCAACCUCGGAAUUGCAUUCAAUACUGCUUCGCUCGAGUACUGGAGAGGAGGCUGGAAUUUACGGUGUAGCAGUGAAAUGCGUAGAUAUCGGAAGGAACAUCAGUGGCGAAAGCGACUUCCUGGACCAGUACCGACGUUCAGGCACGAAAGCGUGGGGAGCAAACAGGA